rnacentral:rRNA from 1 species
CCUACGGGGUGCAGCAGUGAGGAAUAUUGGUCAAUGGACGAGAGUCUGAACCAGCCAAGUAGCGUGAAGGAUGACUGCCCUAUGGGUUGUAAACUUCUUUUAUAUGGGAAUAAAACGUUCCACGUGUGGGAUUUUGUAUGUACCAUAUGAAUAAGGAUCGGCUAACUCCGUGCCAGCAGCCGCGGUAAUACGGAGGAUCCGAGCGUUAUCCGGAUUUAUUGGGUUUAAAGGGAACGUAGGUGGAUUGUUAAGUCAGUUGUGAAAGUUUGCGGCUCAACCGUAAAAUUGCAGUUGAAACUGGCAGUCUUGAGUACAGUAGAGGUGGGCGGAAUUCGUGGUGUAGCGGUGAAAUGCUUAGAUAUCACGAAGAACUCCGAUUGCGAAGGCAGUUCACUGGACUGCAACUGACACUGAGGCUCGAAAGUGUGGGUAUCAAACAGGAUUAGAUACCCGGGUAGUC